AUGUAGGAUUUGUAGCCGAACAUGGCAGAAGUAACUCUUUCGUUAUUUGUGUGAUUUUAUGUGCCAAUGUACGAGCAAUAUGAGUUGUGUUAAAAGUUAUUUUCAAUCAAGGGAUGAUGCUGGUAUUAAUCUAUCCACGUACGUCGUUUUAACGGAGUUAACUGUUACUAGGUCAGAUGCUCACUAGGAUAGCGACGUGAUGGAUGGCACACGAGCAGCAGAGGUUCUUCCUCUGCUACAAGAACGACUUGCAAUAUUACCAGGAGGACGAGAUCGCCGUGGGGGUCCAGUUGUCGUAUUUCCAACAACUCCCAGACGUGAACGAGCAAAACCAGAAGACUAUCGCCGUCUUCUCCAAUAUCUUCUAGCCAUUCCUAAUGACGAAGCCAGGGGACUCGGGUUCACUGUGGUUGUGGACAUGCGAGGUGCCACUUGGGGCACAGUGAAACCAAUUCUUAAGGUGUUACAUGAACAUUUUCCUGGAUCUGUACACGUUGCCUUUAUAAUAAAGCCAGACAAUUUUUGGCAGAAACAAAGGACCUCAUUGGGCAGCCACAAAUACAAGUUUGAGACUAAUAUGAUCAGUCUUGAAGCACUUGGUAAAGUGAUAGAUCCGUCACAGCUCACUGCCGAUUUAGAUGGAUCACUUCAAUACGAUCAUGCUCAGUGGAUUGACACCAGGCUUGCAGUGGAAGAUUUUACUUGGCAGGCUGCUGACUUGCUUGAUAGAUUAGAUGACCUCCAAGAAGAUUUGAGUCGUAAUGAUUUUGCAGACGAUGUUGGAGGUGCAAAACAUGGCAUUGAUCUUCACAAUGAAAUGAAGAAGAAAAUUAUGAAAGUUCCCGUCGAAGAAGUAGAAGUUGUUGGGCAACGUCUAUUGCAACGAUUCAAUAGCGGGAUGAGUGGAACUGGAGGAGAAGGUGGUAGUAUCGAGAGCGGAGCAACUGGUGGGGCAGACCCAGACGGACGUGCUCUUGCAGCCUUAGUUAUUCAGCACUUGGAUUCGGUGCACGCAGCGCAGCAGCAUCUUUUGCAGUUGUGGCACAUCAAAAAGAUGAAAUUAGACCAGUGUUUUCAGCUCCGUCUCUUCGAGCAAGAUUGCGAAAAAAUGUUUGAUUGGAUAUGUCACAACAGGGAAGAAUUCCUAAAAAACUACGUGGAAAUCGGCCGAUCAUAUCAAGCGGCAAAAACGUUGCAAGAGAACCAUAAACACGAUACUAUGAGCUCUAUGAAUGUUUACGUCAACAUCAACAGAAUAUUAACAAUGGCUGGUAGACUUCUAGAAACUCAGCAUUAUGCAGCUGGUCACGUUAGAGCUGUUGCGGGCAGAUUAGAUAGAGCCUGGAAAGAAUUUGCAGCAGGUCUUGAUGAGCGUACUGCAGUCCUUGGCCUAAGCGUAGUUUUUCAUCACAAAGCUGAACAAUACGUAGACAGUGUCGCCGGAUGGAGCCAAGCGUGCGAUGCCACAAAUCUCCCCAGUGAAAUUGCUGUCCUUGAAUCUCAUAUUAGACAACAUCAAACUCUCUAUGAAGCUAUGUGUCAGGCUUAUACCGAGGUGUACAACGCGUACCAAGCGCUUUUGAGCGGGCUGGGCUCAAUGCUUCACGUUUGCCAUAGCGUGAGCACAACCAGCAGCACUGGGGUGGAAGACUUUCACGUCAAUUAUGUACACAGUACCAGUAAGAAGCUCCUUUACCAGCUGGACCAUCUUGUGCAAGUCUGUAACCAACCUCAGGGGAUUGACCACGCCAUCAGAAAACAUAGUCAAGAAGGACAUGUCCUAGAUGGACGCGGCGGUAUGAGUGGGAACCCAGCUGAAGAUUACAGUGCAGGUGCAUCGCAUGUCUUAGCUGUUAUACAUCAGAUACUUGGACACCAUAGGGCAUUGGAAGCUCGAUGGCAUUCCCGAAAAGUCAAAUUGCACCAACGACUUGCUUUGAGGCUAUUUCAAGAGGACGUGAAACAGGUUCUGGACUGGUUGACAAACCAUGGUGAAGUUUUUAUAAGGAAGAACACCGGGGUGGGUCGUAAUCUGCAAAAAGCGAGAGUCUACCAGAAGAGCCAUGAGCACUUUGAGAAUGUCGCGCAGAAUACUUACACAAAUGCAACAAAGUUACUAACCGCAGCUGAGGAACUGGCGCAUACGGGAGAAUGUGCCGCAGAUGAAAUUUAUGCCGUGGCUCAGGAAUUAGAAGCACAUGUUAGCAGUUUUGCAGCAAGAGUUGAACAACGACGUCGUAGACUUGACUUGGCUGUCGUUUUUUACACUCACGAAAAAGAGCUCAGCGGAUGGGUGGAUGAAUUGCGGCAAGAACUCCAACAAGACGAGGUAGCGGAGAGCUUGGAAACCGCAGAAAGGCUCUUGGACCAAUGUGCUCAGCACAGAUCUUCUUGCCUCGAGGCUUGUGCUUCAACAAUUGCUCAGGGAGAAGCACUUCUUCAAGAACUCAGAGAUUCGACAGAUGCUCCUGACACAACAGGAUCUGUUUCUGCAGUAGAAGCUGCACUAGACAGACUAUCCGGGCUCCGUCAGGAACUUGAGGAAUUAUGGGCGACCAGAAAAUUAAGAUUAGAGUUAUGCCUGCGGUUACGGGUCUUCGAAAGAGAUGCACUGGAGGCCAGUGGUCAGUUGGAAAUGUGGGCUCAAGAGCUACAAGGUCCUCCUCGAGAAGGCUCUCCCGAACAAUUGCUCCGGGUGCACAACGAUGGUGUUGCUCACAUGCAAAAUACUGCUUUUCAAGUGUUGCAGCAGGGUCAAGAAUUAGCGCAGGUUUUGGAACAAGCUGGUGUCUGCAUUAUGGCGGACGGGCAGCAUAGUGCUUCGGCAAGAGUCCAAGUUCUCCUUGAGUUUUUGAACGAACGUGAAAUGGAUGCCGAAGAUCUUGCCGAAAUGCGGCGAGUUCGAUUAGAACAAGCUGCUCAAUUGGUCCAACUACAAGCUGACGCGACACAUGUAGCCAACUGGAUUCGCAAUGGAGAAGCUAUGCUUUUAGCAUCGCUGAGGGUCCCAGAAAAUCUUCAAGAUGCUGAGCAGCUGCGUUUGGAACAUGAGCAAUUUCAAGUGGCUAUCGAAAAAACUCACACAUCCGCUGUUCAGGUGAAACAUAGAGCAGACGCAUUGGUCAGCGCAAAUCACUAUGAUCCAAAGAGUAUCAGAGACGUAGCAGAAGAUGUGACAAAAAGAUGGCAACAGCUGGUGACAUGUGCUGAAGAAAGACACAAACUAGUAACAGCUAGUAUAAACUUUUACAAAACAGCGGAACAGGUGCGCUCGGUCCUCGACAGCCUGGAGAGAGAAUACAGGCGAGAUGAAGAUUGGUGCGCUAGCGGAGAUAAAGGAGGACAAGUCCCCACUCUUGUGGGAAAACAUCAGGAGCAAAAAGAAGCCUUCCUAAAAGCUUGCACUCUGGUCCGACGAACUGCCGAAACUUUUCUCAAAUAUACAAAUCGGAGUUUGCAAUUCUACAGCUACCAAACAAGCAGUGCUGGUUCUGAAAAUAAAGUUAAAAAUAUUUUGGAGGAGUUGCUGAGCAAAGAAAACAAAGUACUCGAGCAUUGGACGCAGCGGAAAAAGCGACUCGAUCAGUGCCAUCAAUAUGUAUUAUUCGAACGCAGCGCAAAACAGGCUCUGGAAUGGAUCCGAGAAACUGGAGAACUUUACCUGGCUACACAUACUAAUGUUGGGAAAAAUCGUGCCGAAAAUGAACAGCUAUUGCAGGAACACAAUGAAUUCAAAGGAGCCGCAAAGGAAACUCGGGAAAGAGUAAAAUUGCUAAUACAAUUAGCGGAUAAUUUAGUCGAAAAGGGGCAUGCUCAUGCAGCAGCAAUCAAGCAAUCUGUUGCCGAGGUAGAUCAGCGUUACAAGGAUUUCAGCUUGCGCAUGGACUGUUAUAAAACCCAAAUUGAAGGCGAUUUAGGAAUUCAGUCGGAUGAUGGGCACAAAGAUCUUGCGAUAGACAGGAACUCAGAUCCUCUUCUAGAAGAAAAGAUCAAGGGCAAAGAUUUGAAAGAACUUAAUGAAGAAAAACGAAGAUCCGCUCGGCGAAAAGAGUUUAUAAUGGCCGAACUCUUGCAAACUGAACGUACCUACGUGAAAGAUUUGGAGACUUGUAUCCGCUGCUUUUUCGAGGAAACUAAAAGUGGUCGUGGCAGUGUUCCAGCUGGACUGCAAGGACGAGAGUCAUUGAUAUUCAGUAACAUGGAAGAAAUCUAUCAAUUCCAUUGCGAUAUAUUUUUACGCGAACUGGAAAAGUAUGAGACUAUGCCGGAGGACGUUGGUCAUUGUUUUGUCACUUGGGCUGCGAAAUUCGACAUGUACGUGACUUACUGUAAAAGUAAGCCAGAAAGUAAUCAGUUGCUCGUUGCUCACGGUGGAACCUGGUUCGAAGACUUGCAGCGUAAGCACAGAGUCGAACAUCCCAUCGCUGCGUAUCUGAUAAAACCUGUUCAGAGGAUCACGAAGUAUCAACUGCUACUAAAGGAUCUACAGGCUUGCUGUCAAGAAGGUCAAGGAGAAAUCAAAGACGGUCUAGAAGUUAUGCUCAACGUGCCUAAAAAAGCAAACGACGCUUUACACUUGAGUCUCCUGGAGGGAUGCGAUGUCAGGAUAGAUACACUCGGAGAUGUUGUACUUCAAGAUUCAUUCACGGUUUGGGAUCCAAAACAAUUGAUAAGGAAAGGUAGAGAUCGGCACAUCUUCUUGUUCGAAUUAUAUUUGCUUUUCAGUAAAGAAGUCAAAGACUCUGCAGGAAAGGUGAAGUACAUCUACAAAAGUCGAUUGAUGACCUCUGAGCUAGGAGUGACCGAGCACAUCGAGGGUGACGAAUGCAAAUUUGCUGUUUGGACCGGCCGAGCCCCAACCAGUGAUACCCGCGUCGUACUCAGAGCGAAUUCACUGGAAGCUAAGCAGUUAUGGGUCAAGAGACUCAGAGAAGUUAUUCAGGAGACGUACUUCAGUUUGAGCAUGCCUAAGAGUCCUGCGAAGAAGAGUUCUAGUCAACGAUCGAGCAGAGAUCUUGAAGAGUGUGCAUCUCUAGACGAUAGCGUUGAAAAUCUUGACAGAAACUCGCUAGCAUCCUUCGGUUCGACGAAUACCACAGACUCCGACAAGACGGGGGUGGCGGAGAUGACAUGGGUAGUUGCGGACCAUUCGGCAGCACCCGGGUCUCGAGAACUCUCGGUUUCCAAGGGACAGCAAGUGGAGGUUCUCGAAAACGGAAGCGGAGAGUGGACUUUGGUUCGUCUCUCCUUAGCACCCGGACAACCCGACCCUCCGCAAGAAGGUCUUGUGCCAACCAGUGUCCUCAAACAACCGCCAACAACAGCUUGCAAGACUUCACCGUCCAGGAAAGCACCGUCGCAAUCGGCGGUUGCUGCUAUUGCUCAACAGUCCGUUACAGCGGAAGAUACCGAACUUGGUACGAGUGACGGGGGUGGAUCAGCGAGUACCAGUUCGCCAGGGAACAAGAGACGUGGAUUUAGCGGGAGAAAGUGGCUGCCGCCUCCUCUUAGAAAAUUGAGUCAAGGAAAGGUUGAAAAAUCAACGACUCCGGACCGACUGCCACCUUUGAAAAAGACCGGCUCGGAUAAGCGUUUCAAAUUGCCAAGUGGAGACAAAUCUGGUCGCGCAGCAUCCGAGGGUGAAGAAGAGGAAGAAGUCGAAGGAGAUGACGGGGAAACUCCGGCUUUCCUCGAGCAAAAUGGAGCCGAAGACGGAGAGGACGAUCUCGAGCUACCGCCACCAAUGAAACCGAUUACCGAACCAAUUUUGGUAGCUACGGGAAACGGACCACCCGGUUCUACCAUACCCGAUGAAUUGCCAGGAAAAAGAGUUUCCGAACGUUCCAUGAAAUCUUUGGACGGUGCUACGUCCGCAGAUCUUGCCGAAAUCGAACAAAUUGUCAAAGAAAGAAUGGAACAACACACGGAGAACCAGGAGAGGCAUAGUUUGAUGAGAGUACCCAGUAAACCGUCGACCGGUGACGACGUGGUGAGCAUCGGCGGACCGGUUGUUGAAGAAACAGAUCCGGAAACUGCUGCGAUUACCAAAAGACAGUUCGUCAUCAGAGAGUUAGUAGAGACUGAAAGAGAUUACGUAACUGAUCUGAAACAGAUUGUUGAGGGUUACAUGGCGAUGAUGAGAGAUCCUGAAAGCGAAGUUCCUCUGCCGGAAGAUCUAAAGGGUGGGAAAGAUAAAAUGGUUUUCGGUAACAUAGAAGCAAUCUACGAGUGGCACAGAGACUUUUUUCUUAAGGCGUUGGAACAUUGUCUAGAAAGGCCGCAGGAUCUGGGCCCUUUGUUCAAAAAAUAUGAGAGAAAGUUGCACAUGUAUGUUGUGUAUUGUCAAAAUAAACCAGUCUCUGAGUACAUUGUGUCGGAACACAGCGAUACGUAUUUCGAGGAACUGCGCCAAAAGUUAGGUCAUAGACUUCAGUUAUGCGACUUACUGAUAAAACCUGUACAGCGAAUUACCAAGUAUCAAUUGCUGUUACGCGAAGCACUGAGAUUAACGGAAAGGACACAAAAUCACUCUGAAAUCGAAGGUCUUCGCGCAGCUGCCCACGUUAUGCGAAUCAUUCCCAAAGCAGCCAAUGAUAUGAUGGAUGUCGGAAGAUUACAGGGCUUUGACGGUAAAAUAACGGCUCAAGGAAAGCUCCUCCUGCACGGGCCGCUGUUAGUCUCAGAACUUGGGAACGUACCGAUACGCGGAAGAGAAUGGCAGGUUUUUCUGUUCGAGCAGAAUAUUAUUUUCAGCGAAGCUGUCGGAAAGAAAACGCAGUUCACCAGUCCUGCUUACAUAUACAAAGCUCAUAUACAGGUGAACAAAAUGAGUCUCGAAGACUCCGUAGAUGAUCCUGAAAGGUUUGUGAUUCGAUCGACCGACCCACGAAAGCCUGGGUUGGGAUUCUCGUGUGCCGCGGUGGACGAGAACGGGGCGCGCAAACAGGAGUGGGUGGAUACGAUUACUGCGAUUCUACAAACUCAGCGCGACUUCCUUAAGGCUAUACAAUCCCCCAUUGCCUACCAAAAGGAACUUACCAAAGACCCACUCCGUGGCACAACACCGGAACCGGUCGUUCGAGCAGCAGUAUCAGUUCCUCCAAUGCUGACCGUAUCUGGAGCAGCAAACAAGGAAAGAAGUACUCAUCGUAAAACACCAGCGAUUCAACGAUCGCACACCGGAGGUUUAGAAGGAGAUGGUCCUGUUCGGACGCCCAGUCCUACUAAGAGUAAACUUAACUUCUUAGAGGGAUUCCGAAACACACUUCGGGCACGGUCACCUGUUCGCAACAAUUCAAUUCCGCCAAGGGACUCUUCCGCUUCUUCCUCUUGAUGUCUCUCGCUCUCUACUAUCUAUUGCAUUGCCUUCUGUUGUUGCAAUGGCAAACCCUCGGUCUUGUAUUAUUAAAAUAAAAACAAAAAAAAAUGUUGAAAAAAAAACAGAAAAAGACGUAUGCCCCUAAAGUACAAAUUGUAUGCCUAGUUCCACACUGUGUAGAACAAUAAAAGACAUUAUACCUACUAUACAAUUUAAAAAAAAAACAUGAAAGAAAUUCAGAAAAAAAGCAUUGGUUCUGAACUAACUAGCACGAUGGGUGGUGGUUCUACUGUACAUCCUACCGUUGGGUCGCUCCAGGUGCUCGAGUCCGAUUAGCUGCUGACUGGGGAAAACUACACGCUGGAGAUGAACUGGUAGUCUCUCAUCUGGAUGGUCCGGG
rnacentral:misc_RNA from 1 species